ACGCAAGUAGCUCAUUGCGCGACUGUAAAUAAUGCAGUGGUUCGCAAGUCAGUCUUAGGAUUGGCAACACUUUCGAAUUGCGGGGACGCCCUAAAGCUCCAGCUACCGUCUUAUUUUAGAAACAUCAUAAGACACCUGUGGUAAUCACACAGGGUAUGGUAAUAAUGCUGAAGAUGUACAAUGGGUUAUCCGCAGCCAAGCUCCGUCAGUUGUUCGUAAGCCAAUUGGCUUAUCGAAACCCGGGGAAGGUUCACAGACUAAGUGGAAGUGGGCGGAGUUCAAUUGCGAGCUCUGCUUAAGAUAUAGUCGGGCCCCUUGCGAAAGCUUGGGGGGUUGGUGGUACAUCCAAGCUGAAUUUGGUUGUUCGCCAUGACCUACUGUUCCGUAGGUGAACCUGCGGAAGGAUCAUUA
rnacentral:rRNA from 1 species